rnacentral:rRNA from 1 species
GACGAACGCUGGCGGCGUGCUUAACACAUGCAAGUCGAACGCUGAAGCCCUGGCUUUUGUUGGCUUGGGUGAGUGGCGAACGGGUGAGUAACACGUGAGUAACCUGCCCUCUUCUUUGGGAUAACGCCCGGAAACGGGUGCUAAUACUGGAUAUUCACUGAUCUUCGCAUGGGGGUUGGUGGAAAGGUUUGUUCUGGUGCGGGAUGGGCUCGCGGCCUAUCAGCUUGUUGGUGGGGUGAUGGCCUACCAAGGCUUUGACGGGUAGCCGGCCUGCGAGGGUGACCGGUAACAUUAGGACUGAGAUACGGACCGGACUCCGGCGGGAGGCAGCAGUGGGGAAUAUUGCACGAUAGGCGAAAGCAUGAUGCAGAGACGCCGCGUGAGGGACGGAGGGCUGCGGGUUGUAAUCCUCGUUCGCUAAUGGUCAAGCCGCAACUGAGGGUUGUGGUGAGGGUAGUGGGUAAAGAAGCGCCGGCUAACUACGUG